rnacentral:piRNA from 1 species
UUGAGCACGUUCUUGGUAAUA